GUAUCAGGCCGCCCUCGAUCAACCGCUGCGUCAGGUGGGUGAUGGGGCCGUGGCAGGGCGCUCCGAUCCUGACGAAGGUGAAGAUUAUAUGGAGAAGGGCAACGUGGUAUUCUGCGACGGAACUACGGAUUUUUGAGGGGACCAGAACGCACGGCCAGCCCUCCCCUACCUCGCCCUCGCCCUCACCUCCAGGCGGGCAUAGACAGCACGCGUGACAGGGUCGGAGCUGCUGGCGAAGAAGUAGAGCGAGGCGCCACCAAGUUUCUCGCUGCCCCACCGCCACCCGCUCCGCCCCACCAGGUCCUCGAAGGAGUCCACGGGCGCCGCCUGGACCCCGACGGUGAAGUGGGCGGCGAGCGAGGACUUGUAGGCGGCCGUCAGCACCAGGCAAGGUGUUCAACGAGGACUCACCAAUGGCCAAUACCUGCCAACCAGCCGUCCUCGCCUCCUCCUCCGCCGCCACCACCCCCGCCUCCCCAUUGACGCAGUAUAGACACCUCUGGAACACUUCGCCAACACCUCCUUUUUCUCCUCCUCCUCCUCCUUCGGCUUUCCCCGUCCUCCUCUUUCGCCUCCAAGCCUCCAUGACUGCGAUUGGACGAUAGAGGGAAGAAUAAAUACAUGCCAUCGUCGCGCGGGGUGAGGCAGAGGGCUCGUCGGGUGUUCCUAAAGGCACGGUGCAUCAGGACUUCCUCAGCCCCCGCCGCCACGCCCACCGCCACCACCACCACAUCCUCGCGCCGCCACAGCCCCGCCGACUCCAGGAAACUGUAUACAUGAGGGGGUAAGUAUCCAUAUCCAUAUUCUUUAAUGUCUCAGGCUCGCGGACUCCCAUGACGACUACUUUCCAUGGCCACAGAGAAGAUUAACCGGGUAUUGAUGAGUGGUUUUCCCGUUCAUGGUUCAGAAGUCGUGUAAAACAAGCCUCAGAAAUGUAAGAGGCGUGCAUAAUUAUUUUACAUGCCUUGCUUUUGUUAGGAGACAGCAAGGACAAGGAAAUGAGGUAAAUGAAGGAAAGCUGGAUGAGGUAGAAGUUUUCUGUUGUUUGGGAGAUGUUCUGGUCUGUGAGGCGGGAGAGUAGAGGACAG